CUUUGAGGUCACUGAUACUCCACCUGAUGUGGAAGUUGUCAAACCAGAUCAGAACGCCUUCGAAGUCCACUUUCAGGAUGGAUGUGGAGGUUUUUGACCAGGUGAGACUGAACAUGGACUGGGCGCAUGAGAAAAAGGAGAGCCACCUGAGAAGAAUCAAGGGGACCAAGUGCUUUGACAUCUGGGUGAAUUACUUGGCUUGGAAGAAGGAUGAAAGGAAGGCGAGACCCGGGAAAGCUUGGUGCUCUUUCGCUCCUAGCUGGGGUCAACAUCUGUUAAGGGACCAUCCCUUACCAACCCCACUGACAUCAAAAAUUAGACAGG